UGGGGAAUAUUGGACAAUGGGCGCAAGCCUGAUCAGCCAUGCCGCGUGAGUGAUGAAGGCCUUAGGGUUGUAAAGCUCUUUCAGUGGGGACGAUAUGACGGUACCCCAGAAGAAGCCCGCUAACUCUGUGC
rnacentral:rRNA from 1 species